GGUUGGGCAAUUUACGCCCCAUUUGUAAAUGGCAGGAUAAAACAGGAAUUUUCAUUUUUCAUUACACUGCCUCGUCAAGUCGAAAGUCCACCUGAUCCAGAAGAACCGUCAGUUUCUGUUGUUUUUCAUCCUGAACGUUCAGGUUAUGUCAGGACAUUUGAGCAGAAAACUGAAGACUACGAGAGACUCGCCAAUGAAUU